rnacentral:rRNA from 1 species
CCUACGGGUGGCUGCAGUGGGGAAUAUUGCACAAUGGGCGCAAGCCUGAUGCAGCCAUACCGCGUGUGUGAAGAAGGCCUUCGGGUUGUAAAGCACUUUCAGCGGGGAGGAAGGCGGUGAGGUUAAUAACCUCAUCGAUUGACGUUACCCGCAGAAGAAGCACCGGCUAACUCCGUGCCAGCAGCCGCGGUAAUACGGAGGGUGCAAGCGUUAAUCGGAAUUACUGGGCGUAAAGCGCACGCAGGCGGUCUGUCAAGUCGGAUGUGAAAUCCCCGGGCUCAACCUGGGAACUGCAUUCGAAACUGGCAGGCUAGAGUCUUGUAGAGGGGGGUAGAAUUCCAGGUGUAGCGGUGAAAUGCGUAGAGAUCUGGAGGAAUACCGGUGGCGAAGGCGGCCCCCUGGACAAAGACUGACGCUCAGGUGCGAAAGCGUGGGGAGCAAACAGGAUUAGAUACCCUUGUAGUC